ACCACAAAAAUCCCCCCUCCCCAAUUUGGCAGCUCUUCGUCUGGGGAAGGGGAGGAGCGAGAGGGAGAAAGGAAUGAGGCAUGGUCACACCUCCUCCCCAUUCCUAAACACUUGGGAGGAAUUUGGGUGUUUGGGUUUUUUUUGCCUUCGUUUUCAUCCAGCGAUUUGAUGAUCCCGUUGGAUUUCCUGGUGGGACAAAACGGGUCCAGAUUCUGGAUGGCCGCUUGGAGAAGAAGCAAAGGAUGAAUGCUGAGGAACAGAGAGUUACAAACUCUCCAAUGUUUCAGACACAAGAGACAUUCCCAGCAUUGCCUGGAGAUGCCGGGGAUUGAACCUGUGACCUUCUCCAUGCAAACAUUCUAUUACUGAGCUACGGUCCUUCCCCAGUCACCCAUACAAGUACGAAGGAGCCUUUGGACAGGAUGAUGCAGCCAGCCACAUUGUUAUUUACAACUGAACAUGAGGAGGGGGCAUUCAGAAGCAAGUGCAGAGAAAGCUCUUAGCAACACACACUAGUCCGGCAAAGCUACUGUUCCGACAGAGAGACGUGCAGAGACCUCCAUGCUGGCAGGUGGAUGUGAUUGACGGGACAUUCCAUAUGCUUGGAACAAGGACCUUCUUGUUAAGACCUAAGAGUGCUACUUGUCUCUAACUCUGAUGAACAGGAUGGCUCGCAGUGGUAUGCAUGGUCUGAUGUAAGAUAAAAAGGAAGACUCUCUUUUGAGAACCUUCAGAGGAUGCUUCUUUCCCAACCAGUUUGCA